rnacentral:lncRNA from 1 species
GCGGUGGCGAGGGAGGAGUGGUGGAGGAGCUGGUCGGCGGUGGAGACGAGGGCGGCGCGGGCGAGGGAGAGGGAGGCGGCGACGUCGAGCGUCUCGGUGGUGGUGGUGGUGUCCGGAGGCGCGUGGCGGCGGGCGAGCGCCGGCGAGGCCAGGGCUAGGAGGAAGAGGAAGAGGAGGAGGAGAGGGAGCUGCAUUGUUGGUUGGUCGGAGCGGUGGUUGGGGAGGAGUCAAGACUGGAGAAGACCCACGCACACACUGUGGUGUGGGGGAAUGAAUGUGUGGAUCGAUGGUGGAUGGAAUGAAAAGAAGGGG